rnacentral:rRNA from 1 species
GUAGGGUGCRAGCGUUAAUCGGAAUUACUGGGCGUAAAGCGUGCGCAGGCGGUUCGUUAAGACAGAUGUGAAAUCCCCGGGCUUAACCUGGGAACUGCAUUUGUGACUGGCGAGCUAGAGUAUGGCAGAGGGGGGUAGAAUUCCACGUGUAGCAGUGAAAUGCGUAGAGAUGUGGAGGAAUACCGAUGGCGAAGGCAGCCCCCUGGGCCAAUACUGACGCUCAUGCACGAAAGCGUGGGGAGCAAACAGGAUUAGAUACCCUGGUAGUCCACGCCCUAAACGAUGUCAACUAGUUGUUGGGUCUUCAUUGACUUAGUAACGUAGCUAACGCGUGAAGUUGACCGCCUGGGGAGUACGGUCGC